rnacentral:lncRNA from 1 species
CUUUUGUUGGGUUUGGGGCUGGGACUCUUGGAGUUCUCUGUGCCAAUAAAAUUCUGGGGGGUUGGAAUUUUGGGGUUUGGAGUUUCUGGGUUUGGAAUUUUGGGGGUUUGGGAUUUCAGGGUUGGGAUUUCAGGUUUGGGAUUUUGGGGGUUGGAAAUUCAGGGUUUGGGAUUUUGGGGGUUUGGGAUUUUGGGGGUUGGAAUUUCUGGGGUUGGGAUUUUGGGGUUCCUGCAGUUCUGUGGGGUCAGGGAGGGGUUGGGGUGGGAGGGACCUCAAAGCCCAUGGGGACACUUUGGGGACACCUUGGGGACAUCCUCGGGACACCAUGGGGAGAGCUUGGGGACGUCUCUGGGGACACCUUGGGGACAACCUGGGGACACUUCCUGCCACCCCAGGUGGCUCCAGCCGUGUCCCUGUCCCUGCCUGGUGUCCCACUCCCUGUCCCCAUGCCCAUCCUUGUCCCUGCCCUCAUCCCUGUCCCCACCCUCAUCCCUGUCCCAUCCUGUCCCUGUCCCCUGUCCCUUUCUUGUCCCAUUCUCUGUCCCUGUCCCCUCUGCCCUGUCCCUGUCAUCCCUGUCCCAUUCUCUGUCCCUGUCCCCAUCCCUGUCCCCUGUCCCUUUCUUGUCCUAUUUUCUGUCCCUUGUCCCCUCUCCCCAUUCCCAUCCCUGUCCCCUCUCCCUGUCCCUGUCCCCAUCCCUGUCCCCUGUCCCCAUUUCCUCUCUUUGUCCCUUGUCCCCUCUCCCCUGUCCCUCAUCCCUGUCCCCUCCCGAGGCCGAGCCCCGCCCUCCCGGGAGCUUUAAUUACCCAGCCCAAUUAAUCCCGGCCCAAUUAAUCGCGGCUAAUUGGCCGGGCGGGAGCUGCAGCUGGGGAGGAUUUGCUGCAGCUGCAGCGCGUUCCUUUUAUGACAUUGCAUUGUGCUUAUUUAUUAGAGCUUUAUUUCUGUUUCCUUCUAUUUAUUUAUUGUAUUAUAUAUUUAUUUCUGUUUCAUUACAUUUAUUUAGUAUUUAUUUCUCAGAAAUUACAAAUAUUGGCUUUGGGCUUGGGGUGGCAACUCCUGCUUUGGGAGUUAUUGUUCAGUACAACCCGAUUAUGUUUCUUUAUUAUUAA